rnacentral:rRNA from 1 species
ACUCAAAGGAAUUGACGGGGAGCCGCACAAGCAGUGGAGCAUGUGGUUUAAUUCGACGCUACGCGUAGAACCUUACCAAGGCUUGACAUCUCGGGAAUCUCCUAGAAAUAGGAGAGUGCCUUCGGGAACCCGAUGACAGGUGUUGCAUGGCCGUCGUCAGCUCGUGUCGUGAGAUGUUGGGUUAAGUCCCGCAACGAGCGCAACCCUUGCCGUGUGUUGAAUUUUUCACACGGGACUGCCCGGGCCAACCGGGAGGAAGGUGGGGAUGAUGUCAGGUCUGCAUGGCCCUUACGCCUUGGGCUACACACGUGCUACAAUGGCCGGUACAACGGGUUUGCCAAGUCGCGAGACGGAGCUAAUCCCAUCAAAACCGGUCUCAGUUCGGAUUGAAGGCUGCAACUCGCCUUCAUGAAGUUGGAAUUGCUAGUAACCGUGGGUCAGCCAUACCGCGGUGAAUACGUUCCCGGCUCUUGUACACACCGCCCGU